CCGUCUCCCUGCGGCCCUCCCCCGUCCUACGAUCCGCCGCACACCCGCCCUGCAGCGCCGUCUCCCUCCUCCACGGCAGUCCCGCCGGGCACGGCGCAGCUCGCCAAAUCUGCCUCCAUCAUCAGGCGGGCUCUCGCUGCUGCAGGGGCCGCAAGUCUCGCCAUCUCGCCAAGUCCGUGCUGCAGGGACCGCAAGUCUCGCCAAGUUCGUGCUGCAGGGGCCGCAAGCUCCAGCAAGCAGGUGCUGCGAUUUGAGUGCAGCAAGGGGACCCUAAGUUGAAACAAAGAUUGCAGCUGCUCACUUUAGGCAUUGGUGGUGUUGGUGUAGUCUCUGCUUAUAUUUCAUACUCUCCUGAAAUUGCUGCCAGCUUUGGUGCAGGGUUGAUUGGAUCAUUGGUGUACCUCCGCAUGCUUGGAACCAGUGUAGAUUCCCUAGCAGGUGGAACUAGAGAGACUGUCAACUAUGGUAUAAGAAGUUAACAACUGAUGAACACUAACCACUUCAUCGUAUAGACUAAUGCAACCCAACUGCCCUGCUUAUGAGGUACAGUGUCUAAAGCUUUAGUAGAUAAGAAAUCAUUUUAUCUUCCCGCUGCAUUGUAAGAUGAUAAAUAAAUUAUUCAUAGAUGCAGCCAUGUGAAAAACCUUGAAAAUUGUAAAUCAUUCUCAUUAGUUGUAGCUAAUGUUCCAGUAGGCGAAACCAAAGUCUAAUUUUUUUCUCAGCAGUACCGACAUUGUAGAGUGUACCUUGUUCAGAAA